CCUUAAUCCUAGCACUCUAUUUAUCUGCUGAAAAUGUAUCCCUCGAUUCCUACACUGCACGUCCCCCAACACCAAUAAUGUGUGUGCCACUGGGCUUAGCUCAGUGAAGAGAGUGUCCAGCUCUAACUGAGAUAAAAUGGAGAUGGGGAGCAGGACAGGUAUGAAGUCAAGCAAGUAAAUGAAGUAAAACGGUUUGCCUUCAAACAUGACAGGCAGUGGCGUACAUACAACCCAUGGG